UUUACAAAGGGUCUGUAAUCUGGCAAAAUAUCUAAUCGCGUAGGUCUGAAUAUAAUCAGACCCAUUCUUAAAAGAAAGGAUGUCCAAGCGUG
rfam:Marine metagenome ctg_1101667422241, whole genome shotgun sequence.